rnacentral:rRNA from 1 species
UGGGGGAUAUUGCACAAUGGGCGAAAGCCUGAUGCAGCAACGCCGCGUGAGGGAAGACGGAUUUCGGAUUGUCAACGUAUGUCUAUGGUGACGAAACAAAUGAGGGUAGCCAAGGAGGAAGCCACGGCUAACUACGUGCAAGCAGCCGCAGUAAUAGGUAGGUGACGAGCGGUGUCCGGAAUUACGGGGUGUAAGGGGAGCGCAGGCGGGGAGACAAGUCAGCGGUGAAAACUAUCGGCUUAACUGAUAGAGUGCAGUUGAAACUGUUUUUCUUGAGUGGAGCAGAGGCAGGCGGAAUUCCGAGUGUAGCGGUGAAAUGCGUAGAUAUUCGGAGGAACACAAGUGGCGAAGGCGGCCUGCUGGGCUUUAACUGACUAUGAGGCUCGUAAGUGGGGGGAGCAAACA